GUAGAGUAUGUGACUCUUCAUAUCAGGGUUAUGGGUUGAACCUCAUAUUGGGCAUAGAGAGAUUACUAAAAGAAAAAAAUAAUAAUAGGGAUGCCUGGGUGGCUCAGCAGUUGAGCAUCUGUCUUUGGUUCAGGGCCUGGUUCCAGGAUGGAGUCCCGAGUCCCGCAUUGGGCUCCCUAUGGGGAGCCUGCUUCUCCCUCUGCCUGUGUCUCUGCCUCUUCUGUCUCUCAUGGAUAAAUAAAUAAAAUCUUAAAAAAAAAAAAAAAGAUAAUAUUAAUGGUAGCUUACUCUCGAAUAACACAUUUUCAUGCUAUCUUAUUUAAUCCUGAUAGCAGUUUUGUAAAGUAGCCACAGUCCCAUUUUGGCAAUGAAGCAUGAGGUUCAGAAAGUUUAAGAGUUGUGUCCAGGAUUACACUGCUAGCAGUGUAUGUUAAAGAUAGGACUAGGACUCUGUUUUUUUUUUUUUUUUGACUCCUAAUAAACUAGUCUCAUUUUUAUGUUUUCUCUCUUUAGAGAUACCUAGUCUGUUUUUCUGAAUUAAACCAGAUAACCUAGUCUUUUUCUGGACUUCCCUGGCUCUCCCCAAAACUAAGAUCUAAAAGUCCCUGUGUCCUGAGGGCCACGUUAUGUUCUAGGCUAGCCCCCCAAGUUUUCCUUACUUGAAGGAGGAUUAAGCUUUCCAGCCAUAUGUCUCAUAGUUUAGGAAGCACUUUUGCCCUGGCUGGAUACUCAGGCUCCCUAUGAGAAAGGGAACAAAUUGAAAUUGCCAUUGUGUAAGAAUCAUCUUCUGAGCAGCUCAGUUAAAAUGUUUGGCAGAAAGGACUUUUGGUGAAAGGCUAGAGAUCCUCAAAUGAUUUGAGGAUCAUUUGUCAUCACAGCCCCCUGUUAAUAUAAGUAAUUCAGUCUUAGUCCUGAAAGCAGUAUGCUACUCCAGUGUUUCAACGUAGAAAAUAAUUGAUAGAAAACAAAUUUCACACAAACCUCACCAUUCUAAGGACAUCAAUGCAAUAAAUAUAAAGUGCCUUUGGAACAAAGUUCAGAAAGCUGCAGAUUUCCGGGUAAAUCAGAGUCAUUUGUGAGUAACUUAAAAUUAGUUGUAUAUUUUUAAAGACUGGACUGAAUUUGUCUUCUAGGAGUAAAACAUACUUUUUUUCUGAUGAUAAAUGUACUUACAGAGUCUAAGACUGAUAGUGGGGAAAACAAGACCAUUAAACUUAAAUCCAUCAGAGGUUAUCACUGCUGCAUCCUAUAGUGCAAUCAAAUUGAGGCUUCUCCGUAUGUAAAGCCAGAGGGCAGUGUUGCUGCCGUUCCACCAAGCAGCCGCGUUUCUGGGGCUACUGCAUGACAUCAUAGCAGAAGGAAAAUUAAAAACACGAAGAAAACUAUUUCAAAAUAGACAUUUAAUGUAAUUUUUAGGCCAAAAGAAAAACUGAUCAUACAUUGUCUUGAGUGGACCAUCUGCCGGAAUAGGGCCAAGCUUAGUCCAGCUUUGGAGGCCGUGAGUCAGUUCUUGACCAGCAUAAUUCCCCUUGAUUCAUUGAUUUGUGAAUGCUUAUGCAUCAUUGAGGUGCAUUUAACUCUUGAAGUUCCUAGCACCUCCACUAUUCCAUUUAGCUACAAAAGCAAGCUUUCCAGUGGGAGUUCCAUGGGUUUUUUUUCUCCCUUUCCCUGCAGAGGUUCUUAACCUUCAAGGAGUUUGACAAUCUCAGGAGGAUUCUCUUGAACACUCUCCCCAGAAAAAUGUACAUACAAAAAUCUACACAGAACUUCGUGGGGUUCGUGAAUCUCAAGACCCCCUCUGGAUUCUAAGGCCCCAAGAAACCCCUGUACUAAUGAUUUGAGCAAUGCGUUUGCCUAGGGAAACACUAACACAGGGCAGACAGAGAUGGGCUGGAUUAACCAUGAUGACGAAGGAACAAUCAUAAUUUUAAGGAGACAGAAGUUUAUUAAAUACACAAGGGAGUGGUAGGCAGAACAGCAAAGGACAGAUUGUCUGCCAACAAACAUAACUUGUUACUAUUUUGAUUUGGGGGCAGAAAUUGAUUCCCAGAGCCUCCCUGCAUUUUCAACAACAGAACUACUCCCCGGCCUAAAGCAGCUAUUAGAUUGAGACCAGGGGCUGUAUGGGGGCUGGAUGUGCAGGGUUCCCACUCAAUCCAUAAGGACUUAAUUUAGCUCCUCAACCAGAAGCUUUACAUUUGAUUUGCAGUGAGGGGGAAUUUCUAAUUUUGGUUUGACCCUCAAAAGGUGGACAGCUCCCAUUCCUUUUUUUAGUAUAGGGAGCACCUAAGUAUAAAGUAAUUAGGGUAAGUCCUUGGAAUGCCCCAAACAACUAUUUCCUCUAUAAAUCCAAUAUUCCCUACCUGUAAGCGUCUUAACAAAGAACUGCCACACAAGUUUAUGCAACCAUUGCUUGCACUAAAAAAGCAAGGGGUUUACCAAGAGCUGUUUUCAUUUAUCCAGGAACUUCUUUCAGCCUUAUUGGUGAGGUGAAAGGAUCAGUAAAAUCUAUUUGUAGGAAUGAAAUGAGACUGUCAGUUGUCUAACCUAACAAACUGCCAAAUUAGGUUUACAUUUUUGUUAAUAGACUUUCCAAUGGCUGUUGAGAAGCAGAAUUAAAUUUUAAGCUUCUAAUCGUACUUUCCGCUCCAUAAACACCUAACCCUGGUUUGUUUCUCCAGCUUGAAAAAGAAAACCAAGGCACUAGAAAGCAAGCACACUUAAGUGUUGAAGAUAAUCUUUAUAUUUUGCCCGAACUGUAUAUUUAGCACACUAAAACUCAUCCAAGGGAAAAAUCAGCAAAUUGAAAAUUGUCCCAUUAAAGAUUGUUUUCUUGCAAACUGACAAAUUUAAGGAUUUCUCUACCCCCCAAAUGCAAUCACUUAAAUCAGCACUAUUUUGAAUUAGCUCUAGAAAUCACACUGAAACUAUGUUACAUUUACAAAUAUUAAAUUUAUUAUAGCUAGAAUGAAUUUAAUGGUUCUCAGAUUUGGCCACCUUAUAACUCCAUUUAAGGAGGGGAUUUUUUUUAACAGAAAAAAUGCAUUAUAACUUGGUCAAGUUACUUACACAUUAAAAAAA
rnacentral:lncRNA from 1 species